GCCCGCCUAGCUCAAUCGGAUAGAGCGUCAGACUCUUAUCAAUACAGUACUGUAUGACAGACAAGAGGCGGGAUCUGAAGGCUGCGAGUUCGACCCUCGCGGUGGGCU